CCAAUUUUUACCCACGCGAAUAUGCAAGUGUAACUGGCCACCACUUUUGCCGGCGGGCGGCCAGUUUCCUUUGCCGUGAAACCCUCCGUACCGUAACACCACAACCAUUUAUUCCUGUUUCUUUCCUAUCUUCAAAUUCCAAACCUUAGCUAGAUAGAGAUUCCAUCAAAGCACAAAUUCCAUUCCCGUUACACUUCAAAACCCUACAUUACAAAAUGGACCCUCGCCGUGUGCCUCGCACCGUUAGUGACCCCAAGGUCCGGCAAGUCGGAUUCUUUGCCCCACCCGACCGCUCCCAAUCGGGUCAACCAGCUUCCACCUCCUCAUCUCCACCGGUUUCCCAAAUCUCCCCCUCUGGGAAUUCUCUGUCCCCUGUCAUGAUCCCGCCGCCGCGUAACCUUUCGUCGGAUAUGUCACGCCACUUCCAGCAGGAACCAAUUUCCCCUCCCCGUGGCGCCCGCGGAACACCAGACUCGUCCAUUCCUGUUGGUAGUUACAAUCCGUCAGAAUUCAUUUCGCCUACUGCGACGGAUGACUUCUCGCCUGGGCGAAGCCGGAAGGGAAAUUCGGCGAAGUUUGCCAGUUCUCUACCUACUGGAGGAAUUGGUAGGGUGAAGCAGAAUAAUGUUCCGGCUAGUGGUUUGGCUACGGUUUCGACUGUUACAAUGCCUAAAGCUGUUACCGAAAAAGAAAGAUUGGCAAUGGGGGAAGUGCAGAUGGAGCAACAGGCAGGGGGUUCAAAGCCAUUGAAGGAGAAGAUGACAAAAGCUGAGCGGCGGUUUCUUCAAGAGGCUCAACGAGCUGCAAAAGCUGCUGCUAAAUCUGAAGGAAGUAAGACACAGGCUGCUGCUUCUGGGGUCAAUGCAGUAAAUGCCAAUCCAGGAAAGGUUCCAAAGGUGAGUUCGUCGAAGAAAGACAGCUCUUCUGUUGCAGCUUCUGAGAAAAGAGGUGGCGAUCGCCAACCAGAUAAAGAUAGGAAGAAAGAUGUCCCUCAUCCACGGAUGCAGUUUGACGACGAAAACCGAGUUGAGAAGGCAAAAAAGCGAUCUGUCAUGAAACAAACUGAAGCCAGGAGCAGAGUUGAACUAUUUAGGCAUCUACCCCAGUAUGAACAUGGAACAAGGCUUCCUGACCUUGAGUCGAGGUUCUUCCAACUUGAUCCCAUUCAUCCUGCUGUUUACAAGGUUGGGGUAAGAUAUCUAGCUGGGGAUAUCUCUGGUGGCAAUGCCCGCUGUGUUGCUAUGCUUCAAGCAUUCCAAGAGUCAAUUAGAGACUACUCAACACCACCAGAGAAGUCCCUUAUCAGGGACUUGACCACAAAAAUAAAUGGUUAUGUCUCAUUUCUGAUUGAAUGCAGACCCCUUUCGAUCAGCAUGGGGAAUGCAAUUAAGUUUCUUAAAACUCGGAUUAACAAGUUAGCUUUAAAUCUAUCUGAAUCAGAGGCAAAAGCCAGUAUUCUCUCAGAUAUUGAUCGUUUUAUAAAUGAGAAGAUAAUUCUAGCAGGUAAGGUAAUUGUGAAGCAUGCUGUCACAAAAAUUAGGGAUGGUGAUGUUCUUCUAACUUACGGAUCAUUAUCUGCUGUGGAAAUGAUAUUAUUGCAUGCCCACGAGCUUGGCAAACAAUUUCGAGUUGUGAUAGUGGAUUCACGCCCAAAGCUUGAAGGACAGGCAUUGCUUCGUAGGUUGGUGAGGCAGGGUAUAAGUUGUACAUACACUCAUAUAAAUGCCGUUUCUUUUGUCAUGCAUGAAGUGACUAGAGUAUUGUUGGGUGCUUCAUCGGUGCUAUCGAAUGGCACCGUUUACUCAAGAGUUGGAACUGCAAGUAUUGCUAUGGUUGCUCAUCAGUUCCAUGUUCCUGUCUUGAUUUGUUGUGAAGCAUACAAGUUUCACGAGAGGGUUCAACUUGAUUCAAUCUGCUCUAAUGAACUUGGUUGCAAUGUGCAGGUGACCCUGAUGCUAUUGCAAGGGUUUCUGGGAGAACUGAGAUAAAUUAUUUGGAUGGUUGGACCAAUAGUGAGAAUCUCCAACUCUUGAACUUGAUUUAUGAUGCAACUCCUUCAGAUUAUGUUUCUAUGAUCAUCACAGACUAUGGCAUGAUCCCACCAACAAGUGUUCCAGUUAUCGUUCGAGAAUACCAGAGAGAGCAUUUAUGGAUAUAGAGAUAUAAUGCAAAAGUCGUGCUAAAUUCUGGCUUCGAGAGACGAGGAAGCAAAUUUUGUGGUCCCUGCAGGAACAUAACAUUAUUUAAUUUUCAUCUGUUCUUCUUUGGGAAUAAGGUUUUGUGUCUCAACAAUGUACUUUCUCUUUUGGCUCACAAAUUUUCACCUGAAUCUGAAGAGUGCGACUAUUCUGCCUCUCGGAGCAGUUUUCAAGAUGUAUUUUGGGUUGUGGGUAGCUAUUUUAACCCUCUUGUGGCAAUGGUUCUGUCAUCUUCCAUGGACAACUGUGUGUGUUUUUUGAGGGGAAGUUUUGAAUCGUUUGUAUUUGUGAAAUUUGAGGAAACAUAAUAAAUAUUGAGGCAAAUAUAGAGUUGAUAAACUUGACAUGUAGUAGGGCUAGGGCCUAUGAGAAAAUUAAUUCUUAUAAAGAUUUCAACC